rnacentral:lncRNA from 1 species
CAAGAAUAUAACGCCUUUACCAGUAUCAAAUCCAUCAAGUUCGAUCAAUAACUGGUUCAGAGUAGUUUCCCUUUCUUGAGUUGCCGCAUUAUAGAGGUGGUCAGUUGAUUCACUAAAUAUUCCUUUUAGUUCUAGAGCUAAAGUUCGCCAGUUGUAGUUUCCCUUUCUUGAGUUGCCGCAUUAUAGAGGUGGUCAGUUGAUUCACUAAAUAUUCCUUGACGCCUGUUUAUUAGAAUAAUAUUUUCAGAAACUAUAACCACUGCACAUGUAUACAGGUCUUUUAAGAAUAACAAUGACUAUUUCUUCAAAUAAAAAAGAAUAUCUAGACAGCCACAGAACAGAUUAGCAUUGUCCACAACAUGAAAUUAAUAUCUUCAGGUUCAAAAAUCCAA